CCUACAAUGGAGUCUAUGUAUCUCCACACCCUCAGUGCAGGCCCCUAAUUAUAGCCAUCUGUUAAGCUGUCAGGAAGAAAUCCCAAACUCAAUCACUUCUUUAUCAGACUCCAGCUGCCAAUGGGGUCAAGUUAGGCGUCAAGUCUGACCUGCCCAGAGCCCUUGUCAUGUGCUGGUCCCUACGCUCACUGGGGCCUUUGUGACUAGGCAGGCCAGACAGCCACAUGGUUGCCCCCAGCUAAGUUCCCUCUCCCACUGCCUUGCCCAGACAUAGCCAAGCCAAGAGAGGCAAUGGGGCUGACAAUAUCAGUGCAAAUGUGGCCGAGGGACUUGGGUUUUCCUUUUACUGCUGAAUCUGGUUUUCUUGAGUUUCAGAGAUAAUAGAAGAGCACAAAGGCAACAGGACAUCAAAACAGACGAGAAAAGUUUGAAAAGCAUUGUCACCUGAUACAUGACUUCCUUCUAAAACAAGCAUGCUGGCUUCAACUUCUUCCUUAAAGGAAAUAAAUGACUGGAGGAGAAAAAAUCA
rnacentral:lncRNA from 1 species